rnacentral:lncRNA from 1 species
AUAAAUGUCAUCCUUUUUUUAAACUCUGUUCAUCAAAAUCAAAACCUUAGUUCUUGUGUUGUUAUUUUUUUAACCAAUAAAAAGAUUACAACAAAAUGGAUAUUUUUUUUAACAUGUUUCAAUUUUUUACAUUACAUAUCAAAUGAAUGAUUUUUUAUAAAGUUGAAAGAAGAUUUAGUGAAUUCAACUGAUGUAAUUUAACUGAUGUAAUUCUCUUGUGUAAUAAAUUUGUUCAUUCAUAUGUUUUAUCUGAAGUUGAAUUGUAUGAUGAAUGUCAUAAACUUUAUGUAUCUAAUCAUUAGAAAGUGAAUUAGAACAUAGACAUAUAUAAGGCAACCAAGAGAAUUUGUUCUAGGAAUAGUUUCAAUCUCUUGAUCAUUCUUAAUAUUAAUAUCUGAAUUUAAUACAAAUUAUAUAUUAAAUGAAUAAGGAAUUAGUAAUUUGACAUAUAAGUUUAGAACUAGUUCUUAAGGAAUCAGGAUUAGUAUACAUUGAUGUGAAUGUUUGAAUGAAAGAGUGAUAAAUUGUAUAGAGUAUUAUUAUUAUUUGAUUCAUAAAUUCCAAUUCUAAUGAAGUUUCAUCUUAACUUUAAUCAUAAUUUCUAAAUUAUUGUUAUUACAAUUUGUUUCCUUACUUAUGAAUUGAAUCAUUGCUUUUAUCCAUAUUGGAAUUUAUAAAUAUU